rnacentral:rRNA from 1 species
GACGAGCCACCCGACCGUUAUUCGGAAUUACUGGGCUUAAAGGGUGCGUAGGCUGCGCGGCAAGUUGGGUGUGAAAUCCCUCGGCUCAACCGAGGAACUGCGCCCAAAACUGCCGUGCUCGAGGAAGAUAGAGGUAAGCGGAACUUACGGUGGAGCGGUGAAAUGCGUUGAUAUCGUAAGGAACACCUGUGGCGAAAGCGGCUUACUGGGUCUUUUCUGACGCUGAUGCACGAAAGCUAGGGGAGCAAACGGG